UGAGUAACACGUGGAUAACCUACCUAUAAGACUGGGAUAACUUCGGGAAACCGGAGCUAAUACCGGGAUAAUAUUUUGAACCGCAUGGUUCAAAAGUGAAAGACGGUCUUGCUGUCACUUAUAGAUGGAUCCGCGCUGCAUUAGCUAGUUGGUAAGGUAACGGCUUACCAAGGCAACGAUGCAUAGCCGACCUGAGAGGGUGAUCGGCCACACUGGAACUGAGACACGGUCCAGACUCCUACGGGAGGCAGCAGUAGGGAAUCUUCCGCAAUGGGCGAAAGCCUGACGGAGCAACGCCGCGUGAGUGAUGAAGGUCUUCGGAUCGUAAAACUCUGUUAUUAGGGAAGAACAUAUGUGUAAGUAACUGUGCACAUCUUGACGGUACCUAAUCAGAAAGCCACGGCUAACUACGUGCCAGCAGCCGCGGUAAUACGUAGGUGGCAAGCGUUAUCCGGAAUUAUUGGGCGUAAAGCGCGCGUAGGCGGUUUUUUAAGUCUGAUGUGAAAGCCCACGGCUCAACCGUGGAGGGUCAUUGGAAACUGGAAAACUUGAGUGCAGAAGAGGAAAGUGGAAUUCCAUGUGUAGCGGUGAAAUGCGCAGAGAUAUGGAGGACACCAGUGGCGAAGGCGACUUUCUGGUCUGUAACUGACGCUGAUGUGCGAAAGCGUGGGGAUCAAACAGGAUUAGAUACCCUGGUAGUCCACGCCGUAAACGAUGAGUGCUAAGUGUUAGGGGGUUUCCGCCCCUUAGUGCUGCAGCUAACGCAUUAAGCACUCCGCCUGGGGAGUACGACCGCAAGGUUGAAACUCAAAGGAAUUGACGGGGACCCGCACAAGCGGUGGAGCAUGUGGUUUAAUUCGAAGCAACGCGAAGAACCUUACCAAAUCUUGACAUCCUUUGACAACUCUAGAGAUAGAGCUUUCCCCUUCGGGGGACAAAGUGACAGGUGGUGCAUGGUUGUCGUCAGCUCGUGUCGUGAGAUGUUGGGUUAAGUCCCGCAACGAGCGCAACCCUUAAGCUUAGUUGCCAUCAUUAAGUUGGGCACUCUAAGUUGACUGCCGGUGACAAACCGGAGGAAGGUGGGGAUGACGUCAAAUCAUCAUGCCCCUUAUGAUUUGGGCUACACACGUGCUACAAUGGACAAUACAAAGGGCAGCGAAACCGCGAGGUCAAGCAAAUCCCAUAAAGUUGUUCUCAGUUCGGAUUGUAGUCUGCAACUCGACUACAUGAAGCUGGAAUCGCUAGUAAUCGUAGAUCAGCAUGCUACGGUGAAUACGUUCCCGGGUCUUGUACACACCGCCCGUCACACCACGAGAGUUUGUAACACCCGAAGCCGGUGGAGUAACC
rnacentral:rRNA from 1 species